GGGGUCGUAGUUCAGUUGGUUAGAAUGCCGGCCUGUCACGCCGGAGGUCGCGGGUUCGAGUCCCGUCGGCCCCGCCA
rnacentral:tRNA from 2 species